AUACGGAGGAUGCGAGCGUUAUCCGGAUUUAUUGGGUUUAAAGGGUGCGUAGGCGGGCUGUUAAGCGUGAGGUGAAAGCUCGGGGCUCAACCCCGGAACUGCCUCGCGAACUGGCGGUCUUGAAUGUCCGUGCCGGGGGAGGGAUGUGGGGUGUAGCGGGGGAAUGCAUAGAGAUCACACAGAACACCGAUUGCGAAGGCAUCUCACGAACGGAUGAUUGACGCUGAGGCACGAAAGCGUGGGGAUCAAACAGGAUUAGAUACCCUGGUAGUCCACGCAGUAAACGAUGAUAACUAACCGCUGGUGCGCAAGUAUCAGUGGACAAGCGAAAGCGAUAAGUAAUCCACCUGGGGAGUACGACCGCAAGGUUGAAACUCAAAGGAAUUGACGGGG
rnacentral:rRNA from 1 species